CUGGCUCAGAACGAACGCUGGCGGCGCGUUUAAGCAUGCAGUCGAGCGGCAAGGGCCUUCGGGCCCCUAGAGCGGCGGACGGGUGAGUAACACGUGGACAAUCUGCCCCCCGGCCCGGGAUAGCCCAGGGAAACCUGGAUUAAUACCGGAUGAGACGGGACCCGCGAUGGCGGGAUCCGGGAAAGGCGCUGCGGCGCCGCCGGGGGAUGAGUCUGCGUCCCAUUAGCUAGACGGCGGGGUAACGGCCCACCGUGGCGACGAUGGGUAGCCGGCCUGAGAGGGUGGACGGCCACAUUGGAACUGAGACACGGUCCAGACUCCUACGGGAGGCAGCAGCUAAGAAUCUUCCGCAAUGGGCGAAAGCCUGACGGAGCGACGCCCGCGUGAACGAAGAAGGCCGUGAGGUUGUAAAGUUCUUUUCGGGAGGGGGAACAACCGUGGCAGGGAAUGGCCGCGGGAUGACGUGAAUCCCGGAAUAAGCCCCGGCUAACUACGUGCCAGCCGCUGC
rnacentral:rRNA from 1 species